rnacentral:lncRNA from 1 species
GCUAAAUUUGGAAAUAGGGCUUACAAGAUGGUAAUAAAGGGUAAAUGAGGUCACAAGGAUGAGGUCUUAAUCUGAUGGGACUGGUAUCCUGAUAAGAAGAGGAAGAGAACCCAAGAUCUCUCUCCACACACACAGAAUAAAGACCCUAUGAGGACACAGCUAGAAGGUGGAUGUUUGCAAGCUACAGAAGCCUCACCAGACACUGAAGCCUGAUAGUGACCUUGAACUUGGACCUGUAGCCUUUAGAACUCUGAGGAAAUUAAUUUCUUUUGUUGAAGCCAUUAAUUCUGAAAACCUGUAUGAGCCAGGCUAAUACAACAGUCGUAUUUAUUUUUAUUUGGCAUAAUAAUAAAGCAAAAUGUCUAACUAUUAUUGUUUUGUCAAUAGUGGAGGAUGGCAAUGAGAGGAACACCAGGCUACUGCACAGGUGUGCCAUCUACAUUACAAAAUCACAUCUUGGCCAAAAUUCAUACACACAACUUUGA